CCCGAUUUCAAUAUUCGAUCUUCAAUCCACAGAUUUUAGCAAUCUUCAAAUCUUAAUCUAAGAAACCAAUCUGUAGAUUGGUCUCCUAUCUGCUUUCCAAUAAUGUAUCUCAAGAGCCGCAAUCCUUUGUUCUGCUCGGAUAACCCGGCAAUCUUUUCCCUCUCGGAAGUUCAGUUCUACGCAAAUUACGUUUUACUCGUAUAAACUUAAUUAAAUUAUGCGCUGUGGACAGGCGAAAUAAAAUAAAAUAGGUCAAAAUAUAAAGAUAUUAAACUAUUUAAACAGCAAAAAAUGAAAAUACGUCGAAGAUAGUACUUAUUUUAAAUUAAUUGUAUAAAAACUGAAGGCUUCACAGAAUAUAAUGUCUUUGCGUUUUCCUUCAAAAAAUUAAAAUUGUCAGUUUUGUUUUCAUCCAUCAGUCAACGUCAAAGUGAAGUCGAUAAAUAUUGUAAAAUAAUAAAUUCUAAAUUAAUUAAAUAAAAUAUUGCAAUGGACAAGGAAUUGACUGGUGGCGGAGCUGGUGAAUAUUUAUACCUCGAAACAUUGCCUCGAAACGGAACUUUUGAGUGUAUCAUAAGUUUGCUGGGAAGCGCGGCCAGCAGCUUUGAAGUACCAUUUGGUGGUGAUAACAGUGAUAAUAACGGUGAAGAAACUUAAUAUUAAUAAAAGAAACCUUUAAGUAUA